rnacentral:rRNA from 1 species
UAAACACGUAAACAAACCGCCUUCAGGAUGGGGACAACAGACGGAAACGACUGCUAAUACCGAAUACGCUUGGAGACCGCAUGAUCUUCCAAGGAAAGGGUGGCCUCUACCUGUAAGCUAUCGCCUGAAGAGGGGUUUGCGUCUGAUUAGGCAGUUGGUGAGGUAACGGCCCACCAAACCUACGAUCGGUAGCCGGUCUGAGAGGAUGAACGGCCACACUGGAACUGAGACACGGUCCAG